rnacentral:lncRNA from 10 species
CUCAGGGCAUCGCUGGAGUCGUAGUCACUGUUGGUGGGGAGGAAGACUUCUGAGCAGGCUUCUUCAUCAGAGCAGGGCUGUGAAUCUGCGAAGCCAGAAACUGAGUUUGCCUGUAACUAGAUGUGUUGGAUGAGGUCAUGGAGCAACCUUGGAGAUAGAAGCCACAUGCUAGGAUGGUGGGGCUGAAAAAUAGAGCUUGUUGCCUGAAGACCAUUACGUCUGCAUAUCAACCUUGAAUUGUCUCCUUUUGAGCUUCUUUCACACAAGAGAGAAAGUAUCUUGUGUUUAUGACAUUCUUAUUUGGGUCUUUGGUAACACGAACCCAAAAUUUAUCCUAACCAAUAGGAGUACGGUUAAAUAAAUUGUGGCGCAUCUGUAUAUGGAAUAUUAUCCAGCAGCUACAAAGGAUGAGAUAAAUUUAUAUGUUCUUUAAAUAAUG